rnacentral:rRNA from 1 species
UACGUAGGGUGCAGGCGUUAAUCGGAAUUACUGGGCGUAAAGCGUGCGCAGGCGGUUUGCUAAGACAGGUGUGAAAUCCCCCGGGCCUAACCUGGGAACUGCAUUUGUGACUGCAUGGCUAGAGUUUGUCAGAGGGGGGGUGGAAUUCCACGUGUAGCAGUGAAAUGCUUAGAUAUGACAUAGAACACCAAUUGCGAAGGCAGCUUACUUCACGAUCAUUGACACUGAGGCACGAAAGCGUGGGGAGCAACAGGA